AUUAGAUACCCUGGUAGUCCACGCUGUAAACGAUGAGUACUAGGUGUCGGGGGUUACCCCCCUCGGUGCCGCAGCUAACGCAUUAAGUACUCCGCCUGGGAAGUACGCUCGCAAGAGUGAAACUCAACGGAAUUGACGGGGACCCGCACAAGUAGCGGAGCAUGUGGUUUAAUUCGAAGCAACGCGAAGAACCUUACCUAAGCUUGACAUCCCAAUGACAUCUCCUUAAUCGGAGAGUUCCCUUCGGGGACAUUG
rnacentral:rRNA from 1 species